rnacentral:misc_RNA from 1 species
AGCAGCCGCGGUAAUUCCAGCUCCAAUAGCGUAUAUUAAAGUUGUUGCAGUUAAAAAGCUCGUAGUUGAAUUUCGGGGUUAGUAGGUUGGUCAUGCCUCUGGUAUGUACUGGUCUCACUGAUUCCUCCUUCCUGAUGAAUCUUAAUGCCAUUAAUUUGGUGUUUUGGGGAAUUUGGACUGUUACUUUGAAAAAAUUAGAGUGUUUAAAGCAAGCUAACGCUUGAAUACAUUAGCAUGGAAUAAUGAAAUAGGACGUUCGAUCCUAUUUUGUUGGUUUCUAGGAUUGACGUAAUGAUUAAUAGGGAUAGUUGGGGGCAUUAGUAUUCAAUUGUCAGAGGUGAAAUUCUUGGAUUUAUUGAAGACUAACUACUGCGAAAGCAUUUGCCAAGGAUGUUUUCAUUAAUCAAGAACGAAAGUUAGGGGAUCGAAGACGAUCAGAUACCGUCGUAGUCUUAACCAUAAACUAUGCCGACUAGGGAUCGGAUGAUGUUAAUUUUUUAAUGACUCAUUCGGCGCCUUA